rnacentral:rRNA from 1 species
GACGAACGCUGGCGGCGUGCUUAACACAUGCAAGUCGAACGAGACGAUUGAAAGCUUGCUUAUGAAAAUCGAGUGGCAAACGGGUGAGUAACGCGUAGACAACCUGCCUUUGAGAUGGGGACAACAGUUCGAAAGGACUGCUAAUACCGAAUGUUGUAUAUUUUCCACAUGGAAGAUAUAUUAAAGAUGGCCUCUAUUUAUAAGCUAUCGCUCAAAGAUGGGUCUGCGUCUGAUUAGCUGGUUGGUGGGGUAACGGCCUACCAAGGCGACGAUCAGUAGCCGGUCUGAGAGGAUGAACGGCCACAUUGGGACUGAGACACGGCCCAGACUCCUACGGGAGGCAGCAGUGGGGAAUCUUCCACAAUGGACGAAAGUCUGAUGGAGCAACGCCGCGUGAGUGAAGAAGGGUUUCGGCUCGUAAAGCUCUGUUGUCGGGGACGAAUGUGCAGUAUUUGAAUAAGGAUAGGUAAUGACGGUAUUAAACGAGAAAGCCACGGCUAACUACGUGCCAGCAGCCGCCGUAA